UACGUAGGCAGCAAGCGUUGUUCGGAAUUACUGGGCGUAAAGAGCUCGUAGGUGGUUUGUCGCGUUGUUCGUGAAAACCGGGGGCUUAACCCUCGGCGUGCGGGCGAUACGGGCAGACUUGAGUACUGCAGGGGAGACUGGAAUUCCUGGUGUAGCGGUGGAAUGCGCAGAUAUCAGGAGGAACACCGGUGGCGAAGGCGGGUCUCUGGGCAGUAACUGACGCUGAGGAGCGAAAGCGUGGGGAGCGAACAGG
rnacentral:rRNA from 1 species